rnacentral:rRNA from 1 species
UACGGAGGGUGCGAGCGUUAUCCGGAAUUACUGGGCGUAAAGCGUGCGCAGGCGGCGCGUUUAAGACAGGUGUGAAAGCCCCCGAGCUUAACUUGGGAAUUGCGCUUGUGACUGGCGUGCUGGAGUGUGGCAGAGGGAGGUGGAAUUCCACGUGUAGCAGUGAAAUGCGUAGAGAUGUGGAGGAACACCGAUGGCGAAGGCAGCCUCCUGGGCCAGCACUGACGCUCAUGCACGAAAGCGUGGGGAGCAAACAGG